AAAUUUACGGAUCUUGAUUUCGAGUUUUAUAACUCGAGAUAUGAUUUUUCUUGUAACUGUGAUGCGAGUAGCUAGAAAGCUGUGAAUGUAGAAACAAAUGAUUUGAAGUUCUUAAAUUGAUAAAUUAUGUUCGGUAACCCCUCAAGCUCGACUCCGGUGAUGGUCUUGGUCGUGGGGGCGUUACAAGGUAGGUCAAAAUACAAACAAACCAGUGACUGUCGAAUAUAAACC
rnacentral:lncRNA from 1 species